GUCCCUUGGGUGGAGCAGAACAGGGAAGGACUUCAGCACAGGCGACUUCCUCCCUGUCCAGAGCUGCUGCCGCAGGAGUUGUGGGGUGAGUUGAGCCCCACCGUGGAGCCUGCUUUCUAUUCACAGGCAGCUUCAAGCUUAGCCAGGCAAAACGACCGUGGUAAUGGCUGAACUCUCAAAAGCAUGUUGAUAGUUGUGCUCUGAGCCCCAGCAGUUGCACAAGUUUGCCAGCCCUCAGAUGUGGGUGCAGAAGACAUUCCUGGCUCCCUGUUCUGGCAAGAGAGUCGGUGACAGCCCUGCAGGGGGACUGGAGAAUGGGGAGUUGGGGAGUCCGUUAGAGUGAGAGGCAGAGGGAGUGACAGGCUGAUUUUGCUGCUAGCAGUCAUCAGUCUCGGACCUGCUGCCAAUCUGCGGAGCUGCUCUAAGCAGCUCCCCGGCUAUUGUCACUGAGCAGUGACACACAGAUCGGAUGGGAUCCUGUGCUUUGCGGCUCCACCCUCGGCUGGGGUCUCCUGAAUAAGAAAGUGCACGCCCAGACAGGUCUGCCUCAGUCCUGCUCAUGGGGGGCAUGCCAAUUCCAGAGCUUCCCUGGAUCAGGCUGCCCCUCUGCCAGCCCACCACGCAG
rnacentral:lncRNA from 1 species